rnacentral:rRNA from 1 species
CUCUGGAGGUGGCGGUGGCUGCGCUGCGGGACCACCCGAAGGACGAGAGCGUGCAAGACAACGGCCUGAGCGUGCUGUGGAACGUGUCCGUCAGCCAGGCCCACAAGGACGCUGUGGUGGCGGCGGGGGGUGUGGAGCUCGCCGC